rnacentral:rRNA from 1 species
GGCUUAGAGUUUGAUCAUGGCUCAGGACGAGCGCUGGCGGCGCGCCUAACACAUGCAAGUCGAACGGAAUGCGGAGAGGAUUUAUCUUUUCUGUGUUUAGUGGCGAACGGGUGAGUAACGCGUGAGGAACCUGCCUCAAAGAGGGGGACAACAGUUGGAAACGACUGCUAACACCGCAUAAGCCCACGGGGCCGCAUGGCCCUGAGGGAAAAGGAGCAAUCCGCUUUGAGAUGGCCUCGCGUCCGAUUAGCUGGUUGGUGAGGUAACGGCCCACCAAGGCGACGAUCGGUAGCCGGACUGAGAGGUUGAACGGCCACAUUGGGACUGAGACACGGCCCAGACUCCUACGGGAGGCAGCAGUGGGGAAUAUUGCACAAUGGGGGAAACCCUGAUGCAGCGACGCCGCGUGGAGGAAGAAGGUCUUCGGAUUGUAAACUCCCGUUGUUGGGGAAAAGAAGGAUGGUACCCAACAAGGAAGUGACGGCUAACUACGUGCCAGCAGCCGCGGUAAAACGUAGGUCACGAGCGUUGUCCGGAAUUACUGGGUGUAAAGGGAGCGCAGGCGGGUAUGCAAGUUGGGAGUGAAAUGCAUGGGCUCAACCCAUGAACUGCUCUCAAAACUGUGUAUCUUGAGUAGUGCAGAGGUAGGCGGAAUUCUCGGUGUAGCGGUGGAAUGCGUAGAUAUCGGGAGGAACACUAGUGGCGAAAGCGGCCUACUGGGCACCAACUGACGCUGAGGCUCGAAAGUGUGGGUAGCAAACAGGAUUAGAUACUCUGUAGUCACACGUAAACGAUGAUUACUAGUGUUGGAGGAUAGACCCUCAGUGCGCAGUUAACACAUAAGUAAUCACUGGGAGUACGACGCAAG